rnacentral:rRNA from 1 species
CCUACGGGAGGCAGCAGUGGGGAAUAUUGGGCAAUGGAGGCAACUCUGACCCAGCAACGCCGCGUGAAUGAUGAAGGUCUUCGGAUUGUAAAGUUCUUUUCUAAGGGAAGAAGACAAUGACGGUACCUUAGUAAUAAGCCUCGGCUAACUCCGUGCCAGCAGCCGCGGUAAUACGGAGGAUGCGAGCGUUAUCCGGAUUUAUUGGGUUAAAAGGGUGCGUAGGCGGUUCGUUAAGUCAGUGGUGAAAUUGCGGGGCUCAACCCCGUCCCGCCAGUGAAACCAGCGAACUUGAGUGGAAGAGAGGUAUGUGGAAUGCGUGGUGUAGCGGUGAAAUGCAUAGAUAUUACGCAGAACCGCGAGUGCGAAGGCAGCAUGCCGGCUUCCGACUGACGCUGAAGCACGAAAGCGUGGGGAGCGAACAGGAUUAGAUACCCGAGUAGUC